rnacentral:rRNA from 1 species
GCCAAACAGCUAGCUUAACAAAUUUAAUAACUAAACAAUAUAGAUAAAACAACAAGACCCCUAAAAAAUAAACUAAACCAUUUUUCCACCUUAGUACGGGAGACGGAAAGGGCCACUCUUAAGCGAUAGAAAAAGUACCGCAAGGGAAAGCUGAAAAAGAAAUGAAACAACCCAUACAAGCGACACAAAGCAGAGACACAACCUCGUACCUUUUGCAUCAUGAUUUAGCCAGAACACCCAAGCAAAGAGACCUUUAGUUUGAUACCCCGAAACCAAGUGAGCUACCCCGGGCCCGCCAACAUGGGCCAACCCGUCUCUGUGGCAAAAGAGUGGGGAGAGCCCCGGGUAGAGGUGAUAGACCUACCGAACUUGGUGAUAGCUGGUUGUCUGGGAAAUGAAUAGAAGUUCAGCCUCGUACCCCUUAAGUUAAAUAAGAAAUACUCUAAUUUAACACAAAAAGAGAGACACGAGAGUUAAUCAGAGGGGGUACAGCCCCUUUGAUAAAGAAUACAAUCUUACCAGGAGGAUAAGGAUCACACUUAACAAGACACGUCGUCUCAGUGGGCCCAAAAGCAGCCAUUUGAUCAGAAAGCGUUAAAGCUCAAACGACACAAAGUUUAUUAUUUCGAUAAACAAUUCAACUCCCCUAAAACUACCAGACUACUCCAUGCCAACAUGGAAGAAACUAUGCUAGAAUGAGUAACAAGGGGGCCACGGCCCCCUCCCAGCACAAGUGUAAGCCAGACCGGACCCACCACUGGCAAUUAACGAACCCAAAAAAAGAGGGAAGUAUGAAAGACAAAAAAAUCAAGAAAACCCCAUAUGCUAGUAAUCGUUAACCCCACACUGGAGUGCCCACAGGAAAGACUAAAAGAAAAGGAAGGAACUCGGCAAACACAAGCCUCGCCUGUUUACCAAAAACAUCGCCUCCUGCAAACCCCGAAGUAUAGGAGGUCCAGCCUGCCCAGUGACCACAAGUUUAACGGCCGCGGUAUUUUGACCGUGCAAAGGUAGCGCAAUCACUUGUCUUUUAAAUGAAGACCUGUAUGAAUGGCUAAACGAGGGCUUAACUGUCUCCCCUUUCAAGUCAGUGAAAUUGAUCUGCCCGUGCAGAAGCGGACAUAAACCUACAAGACGAGAAGACCCUUUGGAGCUUAAGGUACAAACCCAAUCACAUCAAGCAACCACAUAAACGGCACAAAAUUAGUGAACACUGGAAUUUUACCUUCGGUUGGGGCGACCACGGAGAAAAAAAGAUCCUCCGAGCGGACUGAGCCAACAAGCUUAAAACCAAGAAAGACAUUUCUAAGUCACAGAAAAUCUGACCCAAUAUGAUCCGACCUACGAGGCCGAUCAACGAACCAAGUUACCCUAGGGAUAACAGCGCAAUCCUCUCCCAGAGUUCAUAUCGACGAGGGGGUUUACGACCUCGAUGUUGGAUCAGGACAUCCUAAUGGUGCAGCCGCUAUUAAGGGUUCGUUUGUUCAACGAUUAAAGUCCUACGUGAUCUGAGUUCAGACCGGAGCAAUCCAGGUCAGUUUCUAUCUGUAACGUUACUUUUCCUAGUACGAAAGGACCGGAAAAGAAGGGCCAACACUAAAAGUGCGCCCUACCCCUAAUUAAUGAAGCCAACUAAAUUAAACAAAGGGAGAACCCCCUCUACUGCCAAAAUAAGGCCAC